GCGAAAGCCUGAUCCAGCAAUGCCGCGUGCAGGAUGAAGGCCUUCGGGUUGUAAACUGCUUUUGUACGGAACGAAAAAGCUUCUCCUAAUACGAGAGGCCCAUGACGGUACCGUAAGAAUAAGCACCGGCUAACUACGUGCCAGCAGCCGCGGUAAUACGUAGGGUGCGAGCGUUAAUCGGAAUUACUGGGCGUAAAGCGUGCGCAGGCGGUUAUGUAAGACAGAUGUGAAAUCCCCGGGCUCAACCUGGGAACUGCAUUUGUGACUGCAUGGCUAGAGUACGGUAGAGGGGGAUGGAAUUCCGCGUGUAGCAGUGAAAUGCGUAGAUAUGCGGAGGAACACCGAUGGCGAAGGCAAUCCCCUGGACCUGUACUGACGCUCAUGCACGAAAGCGUGGGGAGCAAACAGGAUUAGAUACCCUGGUAGUCCACGCCCUAAACGAUGUCAACUGGUUGUUGGGAAUUAGUUUUCUCAGUA
rnacentral:rRNA from 1 species